rnacentral:lncRNA from 1 species
CAGCUCGCACAGAAACAUCUGCAUGGAUUUGCCGGUUUUCCUUAAGCUAGGGCCAGCUCAGCUCCUCCAGGGCCGUGUGCAGCAAAGCUGCUGACAGCCCUGCAAGGCAAAGGCAAGAAGUUCUUCCUCGGUUACAAAGGGCUCUGUUCCUCCAGACCAGGCAGUGGAGCGUCCUCUAGGGAGGGACGGCAGUCCAGGUCUGAGUAGCUGGAGCGGAAGCACUGUGGAACAUUCUACAACAUUCUCUCCAAUCCGUGGUGCUUCCCAGGGGACCACCAUUUCAACCCAGUCCACUCUGCCUUGAGAGCCCACAGAGCAAGCUUUUUCCCUUGGCCUGACACCAUCCUCCCCAUGGCAGUGAACAAACGGGAGAGUGAGGCUGGACCACAACUGGAGGACAAGACAUCCUCUCCAUCUCAGCCAUCCCAGACAGGUGAGCCAGGCUCCCCUGGACACCCCGGCACUGCUGAGCCAACCCCAGACAGAAGAACUGCCCGGACCCCCUCACAGCUUGCGUGAGACAACAGGUAGGUGUCUUGUGAAACACUGAGUGUUAGAGCAGUUUGUUAGGCAGCAAAUCAUCGCUUUGCACCUCCCACGUUGGAAUUCUCCUUUUUUGAAGCGCCAUAGCAGCUCAGCUUGGGCUUCCCUGGUGGCUCAGA